AUCUUCUCCACUAUCUUAAUCUAAGAAUUUAUCUAUUAUAUCUCAGAAAUUAAGCCACCAUAUGAAGACCUCCUAUGACAGGGAAUGAAUUAAAUAAUGUUAGGUCAUUUCAUUUCUAGGAUGCUUCAAUUAUUAAAAAUUCAGCAUGAUAUGGUGUCCUUGGAGACGGAAAAACCUGGAUUCAAGUUUUCUGACAUGUAGUGGCGGGUAUGAUCCUAGGGACUAUGGCACUAGAAGAUUCCAACUCUUGUAGCAUCAUUAGCGGACUAUUGCAUGAACAAAGGCAUUACUGAAAUACUGGUAUAGUGGGGAAGACACUUACCUUUCCUGGAUCUUGGUAUUCUCAAGUGUUAAUUGAAGAAUUUGAUCUACAAGGCCUUCCUGAGGUUCCUUUUAACUCUAGAUCUGUUAUUCUCCACCACCCAUUAGAUUGCAAGCUCCCUCGGGUCAGUGUUUUUAUUUGUAU